CCAGGUAAUGGACCUUUUCCUGCAGGCCUGCACUCUCUGCCUCUACACGGUUCAGCAAGUUUCGGUGGAUCUGGUCCUAGGAGGAGGGGGAGGCACCAGCAAGUAACCAAGGAGCUCAAGGCAGUGCAGGGGAAGUCUAGAACCAGAAGCUAUGGCCUAACAAAACUAACCGACAAGGCACAGAUAAUGGGAUGAGAGGCCUGGUUAGAUGUCAGCUCCUAGGCAAAGACCUGGUGAACUACAAGCUGAGCACAAGUCAACAGCAGGACAUAGAAGACAUAGGACAAGAGAAGAGAAGCGUUAUGUCCCAGGUCCCCAACCUCCAGCCUAUGUGACUGCGAAGAAAGAUUGAGAAAUGAAGUCAGACAUAUGGAGAGAAAGAGUAGAAGGAGGCAGCGAGGGAGAGAUGAAUGGUAUAGUAAAGAGUGAGUUAGAAAGAGGAGACCAGGUCUCCUGCUCUGUGACCUCUCUGGAAAGGUCCUGGUAGUGGGCUUGUUCCAUUGCUGGAUCUAACACCUGCCCCUUCUCCUCAGGAGAUGCAGAGACCAUAACUCCUCCGGCCUCUAGAGAAGGCACCCUCCAGGGAGAAGAGUCUCUGCGCCACCUGGAUCAAUGAAGUUCUCCCUAGCUUCCUCCCAAGAAGAGGUUCCACAAUUAGGUGGAAACAAGAGCCAAUCUUAUUUGCAUGGAGUGCAGAGCCCAGCAGGGUGCGUCAGGCUCUUGGAACAUAUGGGCCAGAGAACUGUGGCCACCCCAGCUAAUGGGAACGACCUUCCAUGGGUGCCCAGGAUCUUGGGAGCAAUGCUGCUUUAUCUUUCCUUAAAUUAUGGUAAGCCUCUAACCUUUGAGAAUAAUGAAAAAACAAACCCCAAAACCCGAGGCAUUUCAAACAUUGUGUUUCUCAUUUCAUAGGCCUGCACCUGGAAACUCUUCUGAGGAUCACUGGGUCUCUACCAGAGUCCUCAGGAAAGAGAACGAGUCAGAGCACCAGCCUCCCCCUUCUUCCUCCCACAAGCAAACGUCACUUCCUGAUGCCAAAGAAAAGACUCAUGGUCUUGCCCUCAGAG